rnacentral:rRNA from 1 species
UACCAGCUCUCCGAGUGGUGUGGAUGUUUAUUGGGCCUAAAGCAUCCGUAGCUGGCUGGGCAAGUCCCCUGUUAAAUCCACCGAUUUAAUCGUUGGUGUGCGGGGGAUACUGUUCGGCUAGGGGACGGGAGAGGCCGACGGUAUUUUCGGGGUAGGGGUGAAAUCCUAUAAUCCCGGGAAGACCACCAGUGGCGAAGGCUGUCGGCUAGAACGCGCCCGACGGUGAGGGAUGAAAGCUGGGGGAGCGAACCGGAUUAGAUACCCGGGUAGUCCCAGCUGUAAACGAUGCAGGCUAGGUGUUUGGGCGGCCACGUGCCGCUCUAGUGCCGCAGAGAAGUCGUUAAGCCUGCCGCCUGGGGAGUACGGCCGCAAGGCUGAAACUUAAAGGAAUUGGCGGGGGAGCACCACAAGGGUGAAGCUUGCGGUUU